AGCUGGUUGGUGGGGUAAUGGCCUACCAAGGCUACGAUGGUUAGCUGGUCUGAGAGGAUGAUCAGCCACACUGGAACUGAGACACGGUCCAGACUCCUACGGGAGGCAGCAGUGAGGAAUAUUGCGCAAUGGGGGCAACCCUGACGCAGCAACGCCGCGUGAGUGAGGAAGGUUUUCGGACCGUAAAGCUCUGUCGAGCGGGAAGAAAUGCAUGGUGGCUAAUAUCCAUCAUGCUUGACGGUACCGCUAAAGGAAGCACCGGCUAACUCCGUGCCAGCAGCCGCGGUAAUACGGGGGGUGCGAGCGUUGUUCGGAAUUAUUGGGCGUAAAGAGCGUGUAGGCGGCUGGAUCAGUCAGAUGUGAAAUCCCUGGGCUUAACCCAGGACGUGCAUUUGAAACUGUCCGGCUGGAGUAGGGGAGAGGAAAGUGGAAUUCCUGGUGUAGAGGUGAAAUUCGUAGAUAUCAGGAGGAACACCGGUGGCGAAGGCGACUUUCUGGCCCUAUACUGACGCUGAGACGCGAGAGCGUGGGUAGCAAACAGGAUUAGAUACCCUGGUAGUCCACGCUGUAAACGAUGUUCACUAGGUGUUGGGGGUAUUGACCCUCUCAGUGCCGCAGCUAACGCA
rnacentral:rRNA from 1 species